ACUCCUACGGGAGGCAGCUGUUAGGAAUAUUGGUCAAUGGGCGGGAGCCUGAACCAGCCAAGUAGCGUGAAGGAUGACUGCCCUAUGGGUUGUAAAAUUCUUUUAAUUGGAAUAAAGUUUAGCACGAUGGAA
rnacentral:rRNA from 1 species